UGUGAAUGAAGUCUCUGGAACCCAUCC
rnacentral:piRNA from 1 species